CCUGGCUCAGGACGAACGCUGGCGGCGUGCCUAAUACAUGCAAGUAGAACGCUGAGGACUGGUGCUUGCACUGGUCUAAGGAGUUGCGAACGGGUGAGUAACGCGUAGGUAACCUACCUCAUAGCGGGGGAUAACUAUUGGAAACGAUAGCUAAUACCGCAUGACAAUAGGGUACACAUGUACCCUAUUUAAAAGGGGCAAAUGCUUCACUAUGAGAUGGACCUGCGUUGUAUUAGCUAGUUGGUAAGGUAACGGCUUACCAAGGCGACGAUACAUAGCCGACCUGAGAGGGUGAUCGGCCACACUGGGACUGAGACACGGCCCAGACUCCUACGGGAGGCAGCAGUAGGGAAUCUUCGGCAAUGGGGGGAACCCUGACCGAGCAACGCCGCGUGAGUGAAGAAGGUUUUCGGAUCGUAAAGCUCUGUUGUUAGAGAAGAACGGUAAUGGGAGUGGAAAAUCCAUUACGUGACGGUAAC
rnacentral:rRNA from 1 species